UGAGUAACACGUGGGUGAUCUGCCCUGCACUUUGGGAUAAGCCUGGGAAACUGGGUCUAAUACCGAAUAGGACCGCGCUCUUCAUGGGGUGUGGUGGAAAGCUUUUGCGGUGUGGGAUGGGCCCGCGGCCUAUCAGCUUGUUGGUGGGGUAAUGGCCUACCAAGGCGACGACGGGUAGCCGGCCUGAGAGGGUGACCGGCCACACUGGGACUGAGAUACGGCCCAGACUCCUACGGGAGGCAGCAGUGGGGAAUAUUGCACAAUGGGCGCAAGCCUGAUGCAGCGACGCCGCGUGAGGGAUGACGGCCUUCGGGUUGUAAACCUCUUUCAAUAGGGACGAAGCGCAAGUGACGGUACCUAUAGAAGAAGGACCGGCCAACUACGUGCCAGCAGCCGCGGUAAUACGUAGGGUCCGAGCGUUGUCCGGAAUUACUGGGCGUAAAGAGCUCGUAGGUGGUUUGUCGCGUUGUUCGUGAAAACUCACAGCUUAACUGUGGGCGUGCGGGCGAUACGGGCAGACUAGAGUACUGCAGGGGAGACUGGAAUUCCUGGUGUAGCGGUGGAAUGCGCAGAUAUCAGGAGGAACACCGGUGGCGAAGGCGGGUCUCUGGGCAGUAACUGACGCUGAGGAGCGAAAGCGUGGGGAGCGAACAGGAUUAGAUACCCUGGUAGUCCACGCCGUAAACGGUGGGUACUAGGUGUGGGUUUCCUUCCUUGGGAUCCGUGCCGUAGCUAACGCAUUAAGUACCCCGCCUGGGGGAGUACGGCCGCAAGGCUAAAACUCAAAGGAAUUGACGGGGGGCCCGCACAA
rnacentral:rRNA from 1 species